UCUUUCAUGGGGAUGUUAGCAUCACCCCUCAUAGGUUAUCCCGAAGUCUUCAUUUUGAAAGGGAGGGUGAAACCACAAAUGUGACUCAAGAAACCACAUCCACCUCCAUGGCUAACACAGGCGAAGGAAGCACCCAAGAAACAACUACCAGACAAGACAGUGAUGAAGGCAAGUAGCCCAUCUGUAAUGCCUGAAGAUUUCUGCUAUGUGCGUGACAACAUUAUUUUGUUAAAAUAACAAAGGCUUUACUCUUUUUUUCCCCUUGAAUUUUUCAGAUUCUGAUGACACUUGUCUCGAUGACACAAUCAUUACUAUACCUUUCACAAUUUUGGAAAGUGGACCUACGCAAAUAGCAGGUGCGACUGGAGAACAAUUGGGUGACUUGGAAAGACGUGCAGAUGAUACAAGCGGUAGAAGCGAUGUACGUAACGAUCCAGAGGACGAACAACCCAAUGUAUU